rnacentral:rRNA from 1 species
GACGAACGCUGGCGGCGUGCCUAAUACAUGCAAGUAGGACGCAGUUGCGAACGGGAGAGUAACGCGUAGGUAACUACCUAUUAGAGGGGGAUAACUAUUGGAAACGAUAGCUAAUACCGCAUACUAGUAGAUGGACCUGCGUUGUAUUAGCUAGUAGGUAGGGUAAUGGCCUACCUAGGCAACGAUACAUAGCCGACGUGAGAGGAUGAACUGCCACAUGGGGACGUGGACACGGCACAGACUCCAACGGGAGGCAGCAGUGGGGAAUCUUCCGCAAUGGACGAAAGUCGGACGGAGCAACGCCGCGGGAGUGAUGACGGCCUUCGGGUUGUAAAGCUCUGUUGUUAAGGAAGCGGUACUUAACCAGAAAGGGACGGCUAACUACGUGCCAGCAGCCGCGGUAAUAC